UUGAAAGAGUGGGUUUUUAGAAUAAUUUGUCACCGUUAAUCGGAUCAGUGAGUAGUUAUAAGGCCCAGCACCGAAUGUGGGUGGCCCAAUGCUGAAGUUGUUGGUUUAGUUUCCAAUAUUUACGAUUUCUGCCCCUAUAGGACGUCUCUUGUCAGCAAAUACCAUCCCUCUCACAUGGCUAUAGGGUUUAGGUAUGGCAGCAAGCUUCCAAUAUAACUAAUGGACCCAGAUCAACCUCAUAUCACCAAAACAAAAUUCUUGCGAAGCAUCAGAUUUGAGAAGAACCUAUCUUUGGCGUCUGCCAAUCUCCUUCAUCACCAUGCGAGCUUAUGCUUAUCUACUCUCAACAGCCGUCCAUCCGAUCUAAUGCUACUGUAAGUUCCUUGUUUCAAUUUAUUGAACCUAAUAACUUCUACUUCAACAAUUUUCAAGGAAUCGAAUUUAAUUCAUAGUACAUACAUAUAAACCCUAACUUUCUCUUCUAGUUUAUUGAAGAACCGGUUCCCUUGGCUGCGUUUGAGUGUUCGCAGGCAAGAGGUUUGUUUUUCAUUUUUCUGAUUUUAUUUUUGUUUAUUUUUUAUUUUGAUAUAGAACCCAGAAAAGUAGCAGAGAUACUAUGCAUAUAGGUCUAUAGCAAGCUUAUAGAACAAUUUCGAUUACAAAAAUUUAUAUAAACUUGGAGUUUUACUUGUUGGUAGAUCCAUAGUUUGAAUUUUAGGUGGAUAUGUUUGUUUUUGCUCAAUAAUUCAGCUGGUUCUUUUUUUUUCUUUUGCAUCUUAGAACGGGAGUUCAAUUAUAUUAAAAUACUCGGUGACUUUCUCUUCAAUUCUCUUUUGUUUUGUUGUUUCACAAGUUAGCAUAAAUGACUAGUUUUCCAUACUUGUUUAUUGUGAAAACACCUGAUGUAUGAAUGAUGGGGUUGUUUCUGCUUGCCACACAUACCACUGUUUGUUUAGAUAUCUUACACAUGGAAUACCAAAUCCCAACAUAGCGGUAGCUACAGGGGGCUGAAGAAACCCAAUUCAAAGUUGUUGCCUUUGGACACUAAAAGGGUCCCCAUCUUUACUUCUUGUUCAUUCCAUGUUGUGGUGUCCUUGGAAGUGCACAGUUGGAAAAGGAGGAUGAGAGGCAAAGCUUUCAGUGACACUUUCUGGGAAUUUGCAGAACAUUGUGGUCUUCAUCAAUGUGAACCGGAAGGAAGGAACAUCUAGCUAAGAAAAAGCUCCAUUUUUGGUGGAACUGGUUAUGAAAGCUCAGAUGUAAUGGUGAUAUAUGAGGUUGAGAGGCAGAGACAUCAACAGCUUGAGAAACUGUAUAGGUCUACUCGUGCAAGAAAGGAUUUUCAUAAAGAAAUUGCACAUGUAGUUGAAGCAUUGACAGCGAUAGGACAUAAGCAUAUUGAAGUAGGUAGAAAUUUAUUAGAUUCAGUGACAUUAUGUGAUAGAAUGAGAAGUGUGUGAAGUUAAUACUUAGUAUUCUAUGAAAUUGGCUUAUCUGACUUAAGUUUGCAAAUAGAAAAGAUGUCAGGCCUUUGAAUUUAAUCUCUUAAUUUAACCUUAUUGAUUAAUUGCAAAUACUAAGAAUUCAAAUCGAUUUUUCUCAUGGUAAAGCUUUUGAAUUUAAUCUUUUAAUUUAACCUUAUUGAUUAAUAUGCAUUUGUGAGUUAUUUGCAAAUGGUAGUCGAACAUGAAUGAUUUCAAGUGUUAUUGUGUUCAGAAUCAUUACUGGGAGGGUUGAGUCUAGGUCAUGCUCACAAUGUUUGGGUGUCCCUGCUCCCAAUGACUUUGAUUCAUUGGCUCAUAACAAGGUAAAUGUACGGGUGGCUUUGUUAGAAGGGAAUUAAUGGAUUCUAUUUUGAAACAGAUUGAGAACCGGGAACGAUCAUUCACGCAAAUAAAUGGAAUGAACAACCUCAAAUUAAAAGGUUGGAAUGUCCAUUUUUUUUUUAUAACUGUGGUUGUUACAAGUUAUGAUUUUUGUUCAUUGAUAUGUAUUUUAGUAUGAAGUCGAUGAAGUGGCAUGUGACAAACUGAAGCUUAAUGACUUUCUGAUCAAACUGUGAUGUACAAAUUAACCUGCUCAAGACCUUGAGACAACAAUAUCGUGCAGUUUUUACUUAUUGAGUUGUACUAGUGAAAGAAACAUCAACGUAUUGACUAGGAAUGUUUACUUAUGGUAGGUAUAGGCUUGUAAGUUGUAAUAGGUUUCUUUUUUAGGUAGUGCAAUAAGUUGUAGUUACAUUUGUAACAAAUUGUAGAUUUUGAUUGAAUGAUGAUGUAUAUGAACAAAUUGGUAGACAUCAUUCAUGUAUUCAACUAUUUACUAUUUUUUGUUUUAUUUUAA